rnacentral:rRNA from 1 species
AAACUUUCAACAACGGAUCUCUUGGUUCUGGCAUCGAUGAAGAACGCAGCGAAAUGCGAUAAGUAAUGUGAAUUGCAGAAUUCAGUGAAUCAUCGAAUCUUUGAACGCACAUUGCGCCCUUUGGUAUUCCGAAGGGGCAUGCCUGUUCGAGCGUCAUUU